rnacentral:rRNA from 1 species
UACGGGGGGGAGCAAGCGUUGUUCGGAUUCACUGGGCGUAAAGGGUGCGUAGGUGGUAAGGCAAGUCAGGUGUGAAAUCUCCGGGCUCAACCCGGAAAUGGCAUUCGAAACUACCUUGCUAGAGGGUUUGAGGGGGGACUGGAAUACUUGGUGUAGCAGUGAAAUGCGUAGAUAUCAAGUGGAACACCAGUGGCGAAGGCGAGUCCCUGGAAAACUCCUGACACUGAGGCACGAAAGCUAGGGGAGCAAACAGG